rnacentral:piRNA from 1 species
UGGAGAGAUUAUUACAUACUUGCCUUUUCUGC